rnacentral:rRNA from 1 species
UAGGGAAUCUUCGGCAAUGGACGGAAGUCUGACCGAGCAACGCCGCGUGAGUGAAGAAGGUUUUCGGAUCGUAAAGCUCUGUUGUAAGAGAAGAACGAGUGUGAGAGUGGAAAGUUCACACUGUGACGGUAUCUUACCAGAAAGGGACGGCUAACUACGUGCCAGCAGCCGCGGUAAUACGUAGGUCCCGAGCGUUGUCCGGAUUUAUUGGGCGUAAAGCGAGCGCAGGCGGUUAGAUAAGUCUGAAGUUAAAGGCUGUGGCUUAACCAUAGUAGGCUUUGGAAACUGUUUAACUUGAGUGCAAGAGGGGAGAGUGGAAUUCCAUGUGUAGCGGUGAAAUGCGUAGAUAUAUGGAGGAACACCGGUGGCGAAAGCGGCUCUCUGGCUUGUAACUGACGCUGAGGCUCGAAAGCGUGGGGAGCAAACAGGAUUAGAUACCCUGGUAGUCCACGCUGUAAACGAUGAGUGCUAGGUGUUAGACCCUUUCCGGGGUUUAGUGCCGUAGCUAACGCAUUAAGCACUCCGCCUGGGGAGUACGACUGCAAGGUUG